GAGGGGAUAGCUCAGUGGUAGAGCACAUGCUUAGCAUGCAGGAGGUCCUGGGUUCCAUCCCUAGCACUGCCA
rnacentral:tRNA from 1 species